rfam:Papio anubis isolate 1X1155 chromosome 19, whole genome shotgun sequence.
UCUCAGGCUGUGACCCUCUAGAGGGAAGUGCUUUCUGUGGUCUGAAAGAAAAGAAAGUGCUUCCUUUUAGAGGGUUACCGUUUGGGA